UACGUAGGGUGCGAGCGUUGUCCGGAUUUAUUGGGCGUAAAGAGCUCGUAGGCGGUUUGUCGCGUCGGCCGUGAAAUCUCCACGCUUAACGUGGAGCGUGCGGUCGAUACGGGCAGACUUGAGUUCGGUAGGGGAGACUGGAAUUCCUGGUGUAGCGGUGAAAUGCGCAGGAUAAUCAGGAGGAACACCGGUGGCGAAGGCGGGUCUCUGGGCCGAUACUGACGCUGAGGAGCGAAAGCGUGGGGAGCGAACAGG
rnacentral:rRNA from 1 species